GGCGCUGAUGCAGGGGCCCUGCUGGGCAGAUCGGUGCAGGAUCCUGGGAAAAGCCUGGGUGACUGCAAUGCGGAGAGAAGGGAGACGGAGGCAGGGGAGAUUGGAGGGGCUAUUCAAACCUCACAGGCCUCAGUCACACCUGGGCCUUUAUCCCAAGAGAGACCAGGAGCCAAUGAAGGAUUGAAAUGGUCAGUGGAGGAAGAAGUUUGGAUCAUCAACAAGGUCCCUCCCAGCUGAGCAUCACUCCAGAGAAACAUCAUGAUGGAGGCAUGCCUCGGCUCCUGCCUGGCCCUACUCCCCACCUGCAUCUUACUGCAUCCUCUGGUCACGAGGAAGGAGAGAUGAGGUCACUCAGGAAGCCAGGGGCCGAGGAAAGCCUGAUUCCCAGCCCCACGGAGCAGGUGAUGUUGACUAGGUGGCAGUGUUUCCGCCUCUUGCAGGAGGAGAGGGUGGAUUCCAUUUAAAACCUUCCUCCACCCCAUAUGGCAGGCUUAAUUGCCCUCUCCACCUGCCCAGAAAACACUCGUGUGAGACUCAGGCAAGCUCCCUCGGGCUGCUCAGAUAACAGAGCUGUUUUUCCAAGUUUGGCCCUGGCUGCCACGUGGCUCGAAAACUGUCUGGAGAGACUGAAGCAAGAGGAGGGUGGCUCCAGCCUGGAAGUCAUCAGGCUCCACUGAGUCCCAGCCUCACCCUCCAAAGCCCUCUGCUCUGCAGAUAGAGAACAGAAGUCUAAUAGGAGAGCUGAGAAAAGGUGGAUGAUCCUGAAACACAAGGGCCUACAUUCCUGCAUGGUGAUAACUGGCUGGAGCAGGGUAAGUGCUUCCUCCCAAGAUCAUCACAGCCCCACCGCUGGACCACACUGAGACUCCCUGGGGCAGCCAUGGGAUGUUUAAUUCUUCCUGGGUGGGCUCACUACAUGCCUGCAGGCCUCAUUCCUUCCAGGACAGCAGCUGGUACAUUUCCCCCAGGGGAAUGUGCUCUGGAGGGAGGGAUGCCAUCUCUCCCAUUCUUCCAUUAUUUGUGGGUGCAGGGCUCUCUCUGCUCUGAUGUGGGCUAUUAAUUAAUCCUGGGCAGCAUAAUUAGCCACCAAGGUCUCAGGUCACAGGAGGUGCAAGUCUCUGUUCUCUGCCCUGGUGCCCCACACGGGGAGUGCCUGCGUGUGCAGUCGUGUCCAACUCUGCGACCCCAUGGACUG
ensembl:lncRNA